rnacentral:rRNA from 1 species
GGUCUUUUGCUUCGGUCUGCCUCAAACGAGGUAUGCACCAGUAGUAGAAGACCAUCUUCGGAGAGAACAUAGCUGUCAUUAAGUUGAUGGUUAUGGGACCUUCGUCAUUUACUGUGAGCAAAAUAGGGUGUUCAAAGCAGGCUUAUGCCGUUGAAUACAUUAGCAUGGAAUAAUAAGAUAAGACCUUGGUUUUAUUUUGUUGGUUUGGCUCCAAGGUA